rnacentral:misc_RNA from 1 species
UAAUCAUACAAACUUUUUAGAGAGUCUGUGGUAGCUGAAAACAGAUAAGUGGCGAUGAUGAAAAUUGGGCUGAAUGCUAUUUAGAAUUUGAAAUUAUAAAAAUUCGGUAAGCACACCUUACAGUGCAUCUCGUUAUUGCGAGACUGAGCGAUAGGGAAAUUCCCUAUAAUUGAGGUGGUACCGCGCAUCGACGUCCUCACACAAGUUUUUUGUGUGAGGAUUUUUUUGAU